rnacentral:rRNA from 1 species
CAGCAGCCGCGGUAAUACGUAGGGUGCAAGCGUUAAUCGGAAUUACUGGGCGUAAAGCGUGCGCAGGCGGUUUGUUAAGACAGAUGUGAAAUCCCCGGCCUCAACCUGGGACCUGCAUUUGUGACUGUAUAGCUAGAGUACGGUAGAGGGGGAUGGAAUUCCGCGUGUAGCAGUGAAAUGCGUAGAUAUGCGGAGGAACACCGAUGGCGAAGGCAAUCCCCUGGACCUGUACUGACGCUCAUGCACGAAUGCGUGGGGAGCAAACAGGAUUAGAUGCCCGCGUAGUCCCUGUCUCUUAUAC